rnacentral:rRNA from 1 species
UAGGGAAUCUUCCGCAAUGGACGCAAGUCUGACGGAGCAACGCCGCGUGGGUGAAGAAGGAUUUCGGUUCGUAAAACUCUGUUGUUAGAGAAGAACAGCGCAUAGAGUAACUGUUAUGCGUGUGACGGUAUCUAACCAGAAAGCCACGGCUAACUACGUGCCAGCAGCCGCGGUAAUACGUAGGUGGCAAGCGUUGUCCGGAUUUAUUGGGCGUAAAGCGAGCGCAGGCGGUCAAUUAAGUCUGAUGUGAAAGCCCCCGGCUCAACCGGGGAGGGUCAUUGGAAACUGGUUGACUUGAGUGCAGAAGAGGAGAGUGGAAUUCCAUGUGUAGCGGUGAAAUGCGUAGAUAUAUGGAGGAACACCAGUGGCGAAGGCGACUCUCUGGUCUGUAACUGACGCUGAGGUUCGAAAGCGUGGGUAGCAAACAGG